GUAUCCAAUUGUCUGUACCGGGGCUCUGGGACUUGGGUCUCCUCAGCAGCUGCACUCACCCUGAGCCAACGCUGGACUGUGUUCGUGGACAUCUUCCUCUCCUGCAGGGACAUGGAGUAGAGGACCCCAUUGAGCGUCUCCUGUCCCAUCGCCUGUGGGGAGCUCUAUCAAGACAGUGCCGGUAGGCAUAAGGAAAGCUUCAGAGUCUAGAUGUCCUUGCUGGCUCUCAUACCUAUGUGGCUCUCUCCCCUCCAGACAUACACACACUACAGUCUGCAGGGACCUCCACCAAGGGGGGAUACACAUGACAUCUUAGAUUAAUGUUGGCACAGAUCCCUGAGUCUGGGGAGCAAGCCUCUAUGUCAUGAGGUGCAAUAAAGUGAGGCCCACGUGGCCUAGACUGAGGGAGACCAAGAGACAGAGAGGCACAGAGGCCUUCAGUCUGAACAGGAUCCUGCCAAAACCCCUGAGUGAGCUCAGAUCCUGAGUGAAGCAGAUCCUGCCUCAGUUGAAACCGCAGCCCUGACCUCCUGAGAGACUCGGAGAAGCACCCAGCUGAGCGCUGCUGGAUUCCUGGUCCACUCACACUGCCAAGCACUGUGCUAAGAGCUCGAUGGAGGAUUGCCUGAGCAGCCUCUUGCCCUGGGAGAAGCCCCCAAUCUGCAGAGGGAGACUAGACAUAGUGUGAAGUGCCUGCUAUCCUCAGAGAAAAGGAGAAAGUGAGAGUGCUCUAGAAGAGAAGAGAAGAGAAGAGGGGAGAAGAGGAGACAAGAUGAGAGGAGAGGAGAGAAAAGAGGAGAGGGAGAGAAUGACAUUGGUGAUGAGGUGCCACCAUCUUCUAAUUGGUGAUGUCCCUUGGGAUUUCCUCAGGAUCACUUAUUUAUUGGACUUUUUAUUCAAGUAAAAUAAACAUACAAAAGUGGAUGUAUCAUAAAGCUACAGCUCGAUGACAACAGCAUCCCGGAAGCUUCGCUUAAUAUAAAUUUGUAUCAUACAAAAUAUACUGUUCUGUGUUGGCUUCCUUUGAUCAAUAUUAAGUUUGUGAAGUUCAUUCUUAUUGUGGGUGAAUAGUUAAAUAGCUACUGUUCCUGUAUUCUCCUAACUAUAUAGUAUUCCAUUAUGUCAAUACGGCACAGUUUAUUUAUCCAUUUAUCCAUUCAACUGAUAAUGGGUAUUUGGGUAGUUUCAAGUUUUGUACCAGUACAAGUAGUGCUGCUAUGAACAGUCUUGUGUAUCUUUUUGUGAAUGUAUGCAUGCAUUUAUGUUUGAUAUAUAAAUAAGGAUAGAAUUGCUGUAUUAUGCAUUUGUUCAAU